UCAUAGUUAACACACAGGGAAACCAUGUGUGGCAGUUUGAAAGUGAUUAGCCCCCAUAAUCCCAUAGGGAGUGGCACUAUUAGGAAGUGUGGCUUUUUUGGAGUGGGUAUGGCCUUGUUAGAGGAAGUGUGUCACAGUGGGGGUGGACUUUGAGGUUUCCUAUGCUCAGGAUACCGCCCAGUGUCUCCGUUGACUUUUUAUUGCUGACAAGAUGUAGGAUUCUCAGCUACUUCUCCAGCACCACAUCUUCCUACAUACCGCCAUGCUCCCUGUCAUGAUGAUAAGGGACUGAACUUCUGAAACAUUCACGUCCAACUGAGGAUCUGUUAAGUAGAUAAGCUGGAGCCCAAGGGAGAUGACAUUAAUAUUUGAAGCAUUCCAAACAAGCACGGAUGACCUCAUCUUUACGCUUCGAUGGACAGGACAAUAAAAGCUGUCUUCCUCCGUGUGCAAAUCAA